CGCCUGUUUAUCAAAAACAUCGCCUCUUGCUUUACAUAAGAGGUCCCGCCUGCCCUGUGACUUAGUUUAACGGCCGCGGUAUUAUAACCGUGCGAAGGUAGCAUAAUAAAUUGUUCUCUAAAUAAGGACUAGUAUGAAAGGCAUCACGAGGGCUUAACUGUCUCCCUUUUCCAAUCAAUGAAACUGAUCUUCUCGUGAAGAAGCGAGAAUAAAUUUAUAAGACGAGAAGACCCCAUGGAGCUUUAAACUUCUCACCACUUAUUUAUCAUUACACCACUAUAUAUAAUAAAAAUGUUAAUUGAAAGUUUUCGGCUGGGGUGACCCUGGAGAAAAAUAAAUCCUCCAGGAUGAACGGAAUAAAAUCCUAAUCAAAGAGCUACAGCUCUAAGAAUCAAAACACUGACAUCAUUGACCCAACCAUUUGAUCAACGAACCAAGUUACCCUGGGGAUAACAGCGCAAUCCAUUUCAAGAGCCCCUAUCGACAAAUGGGUUUACGACCUCGAUGUUGGAUCGGGGUAUCCCAGUGGCGCAGCCGCUACUAAAGGUUCGUUUGUUCAACGAUUAAUAACCCCACGUGAUCUGAGUUCAGACCGGA
rnacentral:rRNA from 1 species